rnacentral:tRNA from 2 species
GCGGGUAUGGCGGAACUGGUAGACGCGCUAGACUUAGGAUCUAGUGAUUAUGUCGUGGGGGUUCGAGUCCCUCUAUCCGUA